CAAACCUAUUGAGGAAAAUAUAGCCAGACAUUGUAGCAGUAUUUCAGAUACUUUGGCAGUUGACAGCUAAUAUAGAAAAUUGUACUUAUAUUCUAAAUUAUUAAAGAAAAAUGACAAGGCUUGACUAGUAUUCAACUUGUGAACCCCAAGAAUGCUUAUAUAAAGUAAAAAAGGGUAGCUCUCAGUCCUGACGUUUCUUAUAUAACUGAACAUCCUGUAAGUUAUUUGAGAUGAAUAUGAGUCAGAAAUCCUUGUUUGCUAGUUCUUGUUUGUGGGUUGUGGCCAUGAAAGGUCAGACCAAGAGUAUUAUGAAACAUUUAGUGUCUUCACAUAUAUGGGUUUUGGCUUUGGUUGAAAAAAUACAUUGAUUGGAACAAAUGCCCUCAGGGAAAUCUAUCUACCUUCCAAGUGUAUCUAGUGCCCUUGAUACUUUGCCCUAUGUGAGUGUGAAUAUUGAACGGACAUCUUAUGAUAAGAUCUUGCCAUAACAUUUGGAGCAGUCAGACUGCAGUCUGUUCACGAAUCUGCAGGGAAGUAUGGAAUCAGUUGAGCUGAAUAAGCAUGCCACUCUGUGUUGUAAUGUUAUAGUAACUCAGGUGCAGGGAAGUAUGGAAUCAGUUGAGCUGAAAAAGCAUGCCACUCUGUUUUGUAAUGUUAUAGUAACUUAGGUGCAGGGAAGUAUGGAAUCAGUUGAGCUGAAUAAGCAUGCCACUCUGUGUUGUAAUGUUAUAGUAACUCAGGUGCAGGGAAGUAUGGAAUCAGUUGAGCUGAAUAAGCAUGCCACUCUGUGUUGUAAUGUUAU
ensembl:lncRNA